GAUGAACGCUGGCGGCGUGCCUAAUACAUGCAAGUCGAGCGAACAGACGAGGAGCUUGCUCCUUUGAUGUUAGCGGCGGACGGGUGAGUAACACGUAGGUAACCUACCUAUAAGACUGGGAUAACUUCGGGAAACCGGAGCUAAUACCGGAUAAUAUUUCGAACCGCAUGGUUCGAUAGUGAAAGAUGGCUUUGCUAUCACUUAUAGAUGGACCUGCGCCGUAUUAGCUAGUUGGUAAGGUAACGGCUUACCAAGGCAACGAUACGUAGCCGACCUGAGAGGGUGAUCGGCCACACUGGAACUGAGACACGGUCCAGACUCCUACGGGAGGCAGCAGUAGGGAAUCUUCCGCAAUGGGCGAAAGCCUGACGGAGCAACGCCGCGUGAGUGAUGAAGGUCUUCGGAUCGUAAAACUCUGUUAUUAGGGAAGAACAAACGUGUAAGUAACUGUGCACGUCUUGCCGGUACCUAAUCAGAAAGCCACGGCUAACUACGUG
rnacentral:rRNA from 1 species